rnacentral:rRNA from 1 species
GACGUAGGGCGCGAGCGUUGUCCGGAUUUAUUGGGCGUAAAGAGCUCGUAGGCGGCUUGUCGCGUCGACUGUGAAAUCCCGCGGCUCAACUGCGGGUCUGCAGUCGAUACGGGCAGGCUAGAGUUCGGUAGGGGAGACUGGAAUUCCUGGUGUAGCGGUGAAAUGCGUAGAUAUCUGGAGGAACACCGGUGGCGAAGGCGGCAUCCUGGACCGACACUGACGCUGAGGAGCGAAAGCCAGGGGAGCAAACGGG